AUGCGAGACGGGCUGAUUUUUGCUAACUCCUUUGGGAGUAACCGGGUAGAAGCUGAAUCAGAUUCUUUGCAAGUAAUCAAUUAUUGUGAUGGACAAACCAUAUGGUGGGACUCGGCGGCGGCAAUAUUCGCAGAAUGUUUGGACACUAGUACUUCAAUAGGGAAGGUCGUUUAUAAGCAUUGUUAUAGAUCUUGUAAUCAAGUGGCUCAUAUGCUAGCUCAUUUUAGUUACUGUAAUAAGACUUCAUUUAGUUGGUUGGAUGAGCCCCCUGACUUUAUUGUCAGUAAGCUCGUAGACGAUGUAAACAUUAUUUAA
rnacentral:rRNA from 1 species